GGCCUGCUAGCUCAGUCGGUUAGAGCGUCGUGCUAAUAACGCGAAGGUCACAGGCUCGAUAUUUGUGUAGGCCA
rnacentral:tRNA from 1 species